UAGGAUAGUCCUCCCUGGAGUUCACCUGA
rnacentral:piRNA from 1 species